AUGUACCUGCCAUCGACGUCAGACACAGAGCCUACAACUACAAUGAAUAGCAGCGCGGGGACAUCUACUGCAGGGAGCUCUGAGCGCACGGAAGACGUGUUCCACCAGCCAGCCGACAAUCAUGCCGCAAGCAAUGCCGAGUCAGAGUCGGAAAUGGCAAUCAUUCCAGCAAUGCCGACAAGCACCCCUUUGAACACAAGCACUGGCAACACUCAAGUAGAUGAAACUGCCACCGAUACUGAAGUGAAUGAUGAAACUGAUGACGAAGCACAAGGGGAUGAAGAUGGUGGGCAAUCAGAGAUCGUGGUACCUCAGCCACCGUACAUUGGGCAGAGAUUUGAAUCGUUUGAAGAAGCAAAGGAGUUCUAUCAGACAUAUGCCAAGUUCCAUGGGUUUGCGGUCAACACCGAAUACCAUAGGAAAAUUAAGAAAACUAACGAGUACAGCAGAGGUGAGAUGAGGUGCCAUAAGGCAUGA
rnacentral:rRNA from 1 species